CCUACGGGAGGCAGCAGUGAGGAAUAUUGGUCAAUGGGCUUAAUCCUUAACCCUCCCCUUCUCUUUCUUGAUGAAGGUUCUAUGGAUCGUAAACCUCUUUUAUAAGGGAAUAAAGUGUGGGACGUGUCCUAUUUUGUAUGUACCUUAUGAAUAAGGAUCGGCUAACUCCGUGCCAGCAGCCGCGGUAAUACGGAGGAUCCGAGCGUUAUCCGGAUUUAUUGGGUUUAAAGGGUGCGUAGGCGGCCUUUUAAGUCAGCGGUGAAAGUCUGUGGCUCAACCAUAGAAUUGCCGUUGAAACUGGGGGGCUUGAGUAUGUUUGAGGCAGGCGGAAUGCGUGGUGUAGCGGUGAAAUGCUUAGAUAUCACGCAGAACCCCGAUUGCGAAGGCAGCCUGCCAAGCCAUGACUGACGCUGAUGCAUGAAAGCGUGGGGAUCAAACAGGAUUAGAUACCCGAGUAGUC
rnacentral:rRNA from 1 species